rnacentral:lncRNA from 1 species
GAGUGUGUACACGAGAAAAAGUGAAUGACAUUCGAUGACUGCGUUGGGAAAACAGCUAGAGGUAAAGAAAAUAGCGAGGAAGAAGAGAAAACGACGCUAUUUGUCAGUCUAGCUACAUGUAUAUGUGCUGCCGAAGCAAGCACGAACUAGGAGCCUGGAGAACUGCUAUAUAAACCCGGGACUUCUGGGUAUGUUUCUGCCAUGUGGCAUGCGCGGACCUUCCCCCGCCGCAGACCAGAGGACAACAUGCUCAGACGCCAGCAAACGGCCCAUCGAAACAUUCACAGACUCUCGGAGGCUAAAGAAGAUCUCGAAAGACCUGAAAAGCUGAGAUCAAAGCAGCCAUUGAACUCACAGCCGAAGAAACGUUCAAGCUAAUGUGAAGGCUAGUGCUUCAGCUUCAUGUGCUGAGUAACAUUCUCAGGCGUAGCGUAGCGUAUUUUUAAUGCUUUAAAUGAGGUUUAGUUGCACCGAAAUGAGUCGUAAUGAUGAAUAUUUCUCAACUAUAUCUUACUUAUACACUCUUUUAUCUGCAUAGCUUAAAAGAGGGGUAUUUCUAUCAAAAAAUGAAAGUUUACUCAUCAUUUACUCCACCGUUAACCCAGCUUGAGUUUCUUUUUUGUAGUUAAGCACGAAAGAAAAUGUUAUGAAGAAUGCUGGACAUGGGUAGCAAUUGAUAUCUAUGGAGGAAUGAAAUUCCACACAGAAAGCUACACAGGAAGGAUGCAUUUAUUUAAUUUAAAAAUAAAGCAGUAAUACUGUGAAGGGUUGUUAUUACUAUGAAAGUCAGUGGAUGCUAGUUUGUCCAGUGAUGUUUGUGUUCAACAGAACAAGGAAACUCAAACACAUUUAAAACAUGUGGAGAGUGUGUGAAUGAUCACAGAAUAUUCAUUUUUGGGUCAACUGUCCAUU